rnacentral:rRNA from 1 species
GUAAGGAAUAUUGGACAAUGGACGCAAGUCUGAUCCAGCCAUGCCGCGUGAAGGAUUAAGGUCCUCUGGAUUGUAAACUUCUUUUAUAAGGGACGAAAAAAGGCUUUUCUAAGUCGUCUGACGGUACCUUAUGAAUAAGCACCGGCUAACUCCGUGCCAGCAGCCGCGGUAAUACGGAGGGUGCAAGCGUUAUCCGGAUUCACUGGGUUUAAAGGGUGCGUAGGCGGGCAGGUAAGUCAGUGGUGAAAUCCUAGAGCUUAACUCUAGAACUGCCAUUGAUACUAUCUGUCUUGAAUAUUGUGGAGGUAAGCGGAAUAUGUCAUGUAGCGGUGAAAUGCUUAGAUAUGACAUAGAGCACCUAUUGCGAAGGCAGCUUACUACGCAUAUAUUGACGCUGAGGCACGAAAGCGUGGGGAUCAAACAGGAUUAGAUACCCGAGUAGUCC